UAUUAAAGCUGGGGGUGCCAAUUCUGGCUGAGAGAGACUGGCUGUCUCAAACCCUUUGAACCUGACAUGGCUAGGACCAUCGUAGGGAAGCGUUCGCAUUAAAAG
rnacentral:ncRNA from 2 species